CUUGCCCCUAGAGGCUUUGCAGGUGUGGCUGCAGUGUGUCACGUGUAUAUCAUUAGGUGGCAGAGAGGAGUGAGGCUAUGUCUAUGUUCAGUGUUCUGACCUAUAAACAUCUGAAUGUUUAGUAAUGUAACUAA